AAUUGGAGCUAGUGAGCAUUUUUCUAGUUUAUAUCUUUCUAAAACUUUGUUAAUGUGAGUCUUCUAGGAUAAACCUAAAAUCCCAUGUGAUCUA